CGCACGUUUCAAUAGGAUGUGUGAUAUUGUAUCUCCUAGGUGCUUCAUCAGAAGAGUUUUCACCCUCAUGACGCGCCCGCGUCGGGUUGCCUGGAGAGCUCUUCCUUCAAUCCUGGAGCGGAUUGACCGACAUAACGCGCCAAUGACAACAGGGCGCGUGGUAAUAUGCAAUUCCACAAGUCAUCAUCAGAAGGGUUUCCACUCUCAUGAUUUGCCCGCUUCAACAAAGCGCGCGAUAACUUUCAAAUCUUAACUUCUUCGUUAGAAGGGUUCUUGCCUUCUUGACGUGCCCACAUCAAGUUCAAGGGAAAGGUAUGUAUUUUUUAAAUAUAUAUAUAUUAAACUUUUUUCGUUUCACCUUAAAAUUUAAUUCUUAAAUUUCAAAUUUUAAAAUUUGAAUUCAAAUUUUUUUUUAAAAAAAAAAUUGAAACUUUUUUUCUUCUUUCUUUCUUCCUUUCUUUUUCUCUCUCUCUUUUCUUCCUUUCCUUCUCCCCUGUUUUCCCCUCCUUCUCUUUCGGCCGAAACCCAAUGCACGCCAACGCGCGUUGCCCAUCUCUUGCGUGCCACAACACUACCGCAGCACAUUACACCGUCACCGUCGCCGACUUGCGUCGCUGCUACUCACUGACGUGCGCCGCCACCCUC
rnacentral:lncRNA from 1 species